rnacentral:lncRNA from 1 species
CUUCCCCUCCUGCAUGGCUGGCAAAUUAAAUUAGACAGUGUAUAUAUGUAGAAACCGCUUCGAGUAAGACCAAUGACAAACAUUUCCCAAACUGGCCCUAGCCUGUGGACCAGACCUUGACCAGCAGCACUUCUGGGCAGUGUUUGUCCCUGGGGGCGAAGAGGACUGAUGGUCAGAGCCGACCCUUAUUCCACUCUUACUCUCUGGCACAGCACCCUCGUGAACCCCCCAGCACAUAGUUGCAUAUUCUUCGUUGUGGGUCCUUCUACUUGUGACAUGUGGGACGCUGCCUCAGCGUGGUUUGAUGAGCAGCGUCAUGUCCCCGCCCAGGAUUCGAACCAACGAAACACUACGCCGCCUGCAGCGGAGCGCGAGCGAACUUAACCACUCGGCCACGGGGCCAGCCCCCCAAAUGCUUUUGAAAGGACAGUGGCACUCUUCAGGGUGUCCCCUUGCUCCUGCUCACCUUCUAUAUGCAUGCAUGGUCCACCGCCACACCAUGCUGUGAAGUGACAAGAAUGACAGCAUUUGCAGGAAAUGUACAUUGCAACAUGACAAAGCAAGAAACACCUUUUGCAAAAAGCGUUAGAAGUUAAAGGACUGGCUGGUAAUGCCUCGGACAUCAGUUCUUAUCCUUCUGCUUUUGCAGUUGCUGAAUGUUGAAACAAGUCAGCUUGAAGUCGGGUAAUAAAUGGAUUCCAGCUUGAAUCUUGGCAGGAUUUGUUUUGCUUGAGGGAAGUUGUUUAUGCUAAGGGGUGCCCCCCCUGCAUAGUUCGAUUUAUAUUAUACAAAGUCUUGUCCAUCAUCUGGAUGCUGUUGUAAACAAUGUAAUCUUU